ACCAGUGCUCCUACAAAGAAAGAAAAAGGAUAGAUUGGUGGGGGGCAGCUUCUCCAGCAAUGGAAAUGGGGAAAAGUAAACUAAUUGUGUGACGUGUAGACCACGACUGAUGUAACUUGUGGAUGUGUCCACACUUGUUCUUCAUGAAUAUACAUGGCCAUGGACAAGGUACGUAACUUGCUGGUUGUAUUAGGGUGUGAUCAAGGAAGUAUUUCUUCUUCAACUUUGCUACUGCUAUGUAUAUACAUACCUCAUUGUUGUCUUUUUCAUCAGACAAUAAACAGUAAGUCUUAGUUAAUCUUUAACGGAUUAUGAGAGUUAUAUUAUCAUGCACGACA